rnacentral:piRNA from 1 species
UUGGUGUCUGCCUCCCACGGCACUGGGAAGGA